GACGAACGCUGGCGGCGUGCCUAAUACAUGCAAGUAGAACGCUGAAGGAGGAGCUUGCUUCUCUGGAUGAGUUGCGAACGGGUGAGUAACGCGUAGGUAACCUGCCUGGUAGCGGGGGAUAACUAUUGGAAACGAUAGCUAAUACCGCAUAAGGGUAGAUGUCGCAUGACAUUUGCUUAAAAGGUGCAAUUGCAUCACUACCAGAUGGACCUGCGUUGUAUUAGCUAGUUGGUGAGGUAACGGCUCACCAAGGCAACGAUACAUAGUCGACCUGAGAGGGGGGGCGGCCAGAAUGGGACUGAGACCCGGCCCAGAGGAAAACGGGAGGGAGCAGUAGGGAAUCUUAGGGAAGGGACGGAAGUCUGAACGGGCAAGGCCGAGGGAGUGAAGAAGGGUUUCGGAUCGUAAAGCUCGGUUGUACGGGAAGAACGAGUGUGAGAGUGGAAAGUUCACACUGUGACGGUAGCUUAACAGAAAGGGACGGCUAACUACGUG
rnacentral:rRNA from 1 species